AUACACGCUGGCGGCGUGCUUAACCCAUGCACGUCGAACGAAGUUUUUCUUUCGGGAGGAACUUAGUGGCGGCCGGGUGAGUAACGCGUGGGUAACCUGCCCUGUACAGGGGGACAACAGCUGGAAACGGCUGCUAAUACCGCAUAAGCCCUUAGCACUGCAUGGUGCAUAGGGAAAAGGAGCAAUCCGGUACAGGAUGGACCCGCGUCUGAUUAGCCAGUUGGCAGGGUAACGGCCUACCAAAGCGACGAUCAGUAGCCGAUCUGAGAGGAUGUACGGCCACAUUGGGACUGAGACACGGCCCAGACUCCUACGGGAGGCAGCAGUGGGGAAUAUUGCACAAUGGAGGAAACUCUGAUGCAGCGACGCCGCGUGAGUGAAGAAGUAUUUCGGUAUGUAAAGCUCUAUCAGCAGGAAAGAAAAUGACGGUACCUGACUAAGAAGCACCGGCUAAAUACGUG
rnacentral:rRNA from 1 species